GAAAUCUUCGCGUUUGCAAAAUCACAGGUUGACUAUAUCUUGGGUUUGAACCCGCGAGGUGUGAGCUACUUGGUUGGCUACGGACCUAAGUAUCCCCAAAGGGUGCACCAUAGGGGUGCAUCGGUGGUCUCAUUCAAAAAGCGUAAAAAUUUCAUAAGUUGUACCCAAGGCUAUGAUAAUUGGUUUGGACGUAAAACCUCGAACCCGAAUACGCUAAUCGGGGCACUAGUUGGUGGACCGGAUUACAAGGACCGGUUUAAUGAUCAUAGAAGAAAUUUCAUGCAAACAGAGGCUUGUACUUAUAACACGGCUCCUCUUGUUGGGUUAUUUGCAAAAUUAAAUGGGCUAGACAGAGGAAUCGACAUUGAAGAUUCAUCAUUGUUUUUAGCUAAAUAAAU
rnacentral:misc_RNA from 1 species